CCUACGGGAGGCUGCAGUGAGGAAUAUUGGUCAAUGGACGAGAGUCUGAACCAGCCAAGUAGCGUGAAGGAUGACUGCCCUAUGGGUGGUAAACUUCUUUUAUAUGGGAAUAAAAUGUUCCACGUGUGGGAUUUUGUAUGUACCAUAUGAAUAAAGAUCGGCUAACUCCGUGCCAGCAGCCGCGGUAAUACGGAGGAUCCGAGCGUUAUCCGGAUUUAUUGGGUUUAAAGGGAGCGUAGGUGGAUUGUUAAGUCAGUUGUGAAAGUUUGCGGCUCAACCGUAAAAUUGCAGUUGAAACUGGCAGUCUUGAGUACAGUAGAGGUGGGCGGAAUUCGUGGUGUAGCGGUGAAAUGCUUAGAUAUCACGAAGAACUCCGAUUGCGAAGGCAGCUCACUGGACUGCAACUGACACUGAGGCUCGAAAGUGUGGGUAUCAAACAGGAUUAGAUACCCCUGUAGUC
rnacentral:rRNA from 1 species